rnacentral:rRNA from 1 species
AAGCUCGUAGUUGAAUUUCGGGGUUAGUAGGUUGGUCAUGCCUCUGGUAUGUACUGGUCUCACUGAUUCCUCCUUCCUUAUGAACCGUAAUGCCAUUAAUUUGGUGUUGCGGGGAAUUUGGACUGUUACUUUGAAAAAAUUAGAGUGUUUAAAGCAAGCUAACGCUUGAAUACAUUAGCAUGGAAUAUUGAAAUAGGACGUUCGAUCUUAUUUUGUUUGGUUUUCUUAGGAUUGACGUAAUGAUUAAUGGGAUAGUUGG